CGGCUGCCGCGGAGCCGGGGCCGGGCACGAUGGCGGCAGGGCCGGGGCAGUGGCUGCUGGCCUUGGCCUUGGCCGUGUGGCCCGCAGGUGGCCUUUCUCAGGUGAAGACAGAGGCCUCAGGCCCUACAGUAGGGAGGAUCUCGGAGUCUGUCUGGCUCACCUGCCAUGUCUCUGGUGUGGCCAUCACUGACAGCAACUACGCGUGGGACUGGAUCCGGCAGACUCCUGGCAAAGCUCUGCAGCACAUGGUGAUGCAGUAUCCUUUCACACAGCUCCAGCACAUCGCUUCAUCCUUCCAGACCCGAGUCAACAGCUCUGCAGACCCCUCCAGGAACCAGCUGUGGCUGCAACUGCUCUCGCCAGCAGCUGCAGACACAGCCACCUAUUUCUGCAGCAUGAGAGAACUUGAAAAAGGCACAGUGCUUGAAACGCAGGCAGGGCCGGGGCAGAAUUGGAAGGAGGGGCUUUAAUCUAGCCAGGUCUCUUGUGGUUGCUGCAAAGCAAGGCUCUUCCCAGACUCCUCAAGACUAGUCUGGGCUGUCUUUUGCAGAAACAGAUGCAGAAGUGCAACAGCAAUAACAACGGCAGUCUCCCACAAGCAAACCCCAAACCAUGAAUGUGUUGUUAACUCCUUCCUUCCUUCUCAUAAUCUCCCACAGGCAGAAAGAACCAGGGGAAGAGGGUGGAUUUGUUUUAGAGAAUAUGAUGGCUUUGGUUUAAGUCGAGUUAAUUUUCUUCAUAGUAGCUGGAAUGGGACUGUGCUUUGAAUCUGUGCUAGAAAGAGUGUUGGUAAUUCAGGAAUGUUUUAGUUAUUGCUGAGCAGUGCUUACAUGGAGUCAAGGCCUCUUCUGCUCCUCAUUCCACCCACCAGUGAGUAGCUGAGUGUGCACAAAAUUUGGGAGGGAACACAGCUGGUUCAGCUGACCCCAGCUGACCAAAGGAGUCAACCAGGCCAUAGGACAUCAUGCUCAGCAUAUUAAGAUGGGGAAGAAAAAGGAAGGGGGUAGACACUGAGCAUUUUUAUUUCCAUGUAACCACUAUGUGUGAUGGAGCUCUGCUUUUUUGGAUUAGGGUGGAUGCUUGCGUAACAAUUGGAAGUAGGGAAUGAAUUCCUUGCUUUGUUUUGCUUGCACAUGCAGUGUUUGCUUUACUUCUUAAACUCCUAAGUUAUUUAUUAAACCUACAAGUUUUCUCACUUUUACCCUUCCAAUUCUCUGCCUCAUCCAAGAAGGGGGGAAAGAGCAAGCAGCUGUGUGGUGUUUAGUGGUGCAUCAGUGCUUAAAUUGUGACAGAGAAACACAAUGGGCACUGAAAGAGCUGAAGUUUUAACAUAGGAAGGUGGAAUUCAACUGCAUUUGGAUAUUUCAUGAUGUUUAGGGAGUCUCACAAUAACACUGCAGUAACACAUAACAACAGUCAAUUAAUUGUAUCUGAGGAAAAAGUGGCACUUCACUGCUAAGAUGGACUUUCCCAGGACUUGAUGAAAAACUCCUUCCCUGCACUUCCAGCUCUGGCUCCAUGUGAAUAAACACAGGUGUUCUUCUUCUGAGCACUGAGCAUUCAUUUCUUUAUUUAGAAGUGUAGGCUUUCAUGGAAGACACAAGGAGACCCAUGCAAAUGUGUCCAUGGCCUUGUGUUCCUGAGCAUAGUGCCUGAGGCAUCCCAUCCAGGAGCUACAGAUGCCAGAGGGUCAGGCAGUUGUCCCCAGGCUUUGCUCCAAUUCCCACCUUUGGCUCAAUGGAAGAAUUGCUGUAGUGGAUUAAUGUCAGAGCCCUUCAACACAGCACUGCCAGAAGUGACAAACACAAAGAUAAUACCACUUGAUUUCUUCUGUCACCACCCUCUUUUCUUGUAGGUGUCAACAGCCCAGGGGUUUCCUCAAGGAGAUAUUCCAGCUCACUUCAAAUCACUGCUUUUAUCUGUCCUGUCCAUAGUGGAUGGACAGUAACUUACAGUUUCACCUUCAAUAUCUAAUUUUCUGUGAUCACCUGUAGUGUCUCCAAGGAAUCCAUGAGCAGGUGUUAUUUUUUGUGUAGAGCAUCCUCUGGAGCAGUGUUAGAUGUUCAGAAGUAGAACAGUGUAGAGAAAGAUGAAAAUAAAAGCCAGCACCUCAAAGACAUGAAAGAAGAGGCAUCACCUGCCACUGGAAAAACCCCAAGUGUUUUUGUAGAACCAUCUAGCACAGUGUGAACUACGUACCACAGCGACUGAAAACGACUGAACCACCACACACAAACUGUCUCCCUCCCUUCUCUUGAAGGGGAAACAUGGUGGCCCUACCUCGUCUGUUUUUCCCCAGACAAUUCUGUGCACAUGCACAAAUUUGAUUCCCAGGAUUACUCAUACAACAGAAAAACUUUUUUUUUCCCCCAAGACCAAUUUUUUCAACAUUCAGCCCAAGAUCUUGGCUUUUGCAAACAGCUCAUUUUAGACAUUUGAUUGCCAGAUCCAGUUAAACAGUUGGGCAAGAUCCUUCUGUAUUGAGAUGUUUCCAUUUGUUGCAAAAUGUGGAAGAUGUAAACUUUUCUUAAGAAAGCAUGAUGUUUGAUCUUUGUAUACUUUUAAGCCUAAUCAACAAGAAGGAAGACAGUCUGUGAAACAGAGCAGCCAACAAGCCCUACGUUACGUCCAAGUGUUAGACAAAUAACUUGUUCCUAGCAUUGCCUUGUUAAGGUUUAGGGCUUGACAUCUGUUCUGGUUCCUGCAAGAACAGGGUUAAUUUUUGCAGUAGCAAGUAGGGUGCAUGGCUAAAAUAGGGAUGUUAUUCUGUAAUACCUCUCCUCAUUUCUGGGGGUAGGGAAAGGGACUCUUCCUCUCUUCACAGGUGUUCCUUCCAGUCCCAAAAACAGGGGAAGGCAUCCUGUAUUUGUUUGCUGUUGUGAGGUUUUUUUGUAAAUAGUUGAUUUUUCACUCUUUUUUAUUAAUAUUGUUGCUGUUACUGUUUGUUUUCUUAUCUCAUUGCUGUUCCCACUAAAUUGUUCUCUUUUCAACCCGUCUUCUUCACCUUUUGUGGCUCCAGUUUUUAACUCCAUCCCACUGCAGAGGGAAGGGGAAGGGAAAAAAGAGCAGUGGGGAAGUGAAAGAGAGCAGCAGUGGUUUUUUUGGAGGAUCUUGGUUGGGGAGUGCCGUUCCUUAAGCCAUGGCAACAUGCUUCAGAGAUUUCAAUCCUAAUGGGAGAGAAAUAUGUACCACUGAUAGUGGACACAAACAAUCCAGAAUUUCUGAGCCACAAGAAUAUCUGGCAGAACUCCCAUGAUAAGGAAGAAACUAACAAAGCCAAACUCCGCAGUUGUGUUAAAAUCAGCUCCAAGUGGGUAAAAGAUAAUUCUGUCAGGGGGAGAUCACAGCCACCAACACACAGACCACUGACCCAAGAAACCCCCUGACCCAAAAGAAGAGAAAGACUGAGCAUAUGGACUAAUCAGCAUGAGAAACAAGAGAAUGAUUAACCAAUAGAAUAUAGACUAUUAAUAAAUGAGAGAACUGUGUUCUUGUAGCCAAUGAACACUAAUUCCUUUGUUUGGUAAAAUGCAUAAAUGCUAAAAGGUUUUCAUAGUUGAUGUGCUUGAGUUGUGGAAUGCUACGGAGCACCCAGGGUUGAGCAACUCUGAAAUAAAUAAUUAAU